CCUACGGGUGGCAGCAGUGGGGAAUAUUGGACAAUGGGCGAAAGCCUGAUCCAGCCAUGCCGCGUGUGUGAAGAAGGCCUUCGGGUUGUAAAGCACUUUCAGUGGGGAAGAAAGCCUUGGGGCUAAUACCCUCGAGGAAGGACAUCACCCACAGAAGAAGCACCGGCUAACUCCGUGCCAGCAGCCGCGGUAAUACGGAGGGUGCGAGCGUUAAUCGGAAUUACUGGGCGUAAAGCGCGCGUAGGCGGUCUGAUAAGCCGGUUGUGAAAGCCCCGGGCUCAACCUGGGAACGGCAUCCGGAACUGUCAGGCUAGAGUGCAGGAGAGGAAGGUAGAAUUCCCGGUGUAGCGGUGAAACGCGUAGAGAUCGGGAGGAAUACCAGUGGCGAAGGCGGCCUUCUGGACUGACACUGACGCUGAGGUGCGAAAGCGUGGGUAGCAAACAGGAUUAGAUACCCCAGUAGUC
rnacentral:rRNA from 1 species